ACAUUGAAAAAUUUAAACGUUUAAACAACGUGUCGGUAAAAGUGUACGGUACCGAAUUUGAUAGAAAAGAAAAGAUACUUUACGUUGUACUGUUUCGUCUAAUUGAAGAUAAAAAGAAGAAACACAUCAAUCUUUUUUACGUGAAAGAUAAACAUGAUGUCACCACUUUGCAUGAAUUAAGAAUUUGUCGCGACUGGUCAGCUCGCAGCUAAACAAAUAUAAUAGAAGAAAGUACAUUUGCGAUCGAUACCUGCAUUACUUCUACUCUGAAGAAAAAUUGCAAUCACACAAAGUGGAGUGUAAGAAAGUAAAUGACUGCACCAUCAUACUACCGAGAGAGGACCAGAAAUGGCUAGAAUUUGAAAAUUUUAAUUGCAAGAAGCGUGUAGCCUUUGUGAUUUACGUCGAUUUGGAGUGCGUAUUGAGGGAGAUGAAGAACGAAACAGAGAAUACGUCGAAUUUCGCGUAUCACGAGGCGGUAGGUCCGUCGAGGAGACAGCAGGUGACUGCGAGAAAACACCUUGCACUAGUAAAACAUCUUGUCCACCCGGAAGCACCGAGGACGAAACAAGAAUCCAGGAACUUCGCCGAAGGACUCACAGAGCAUCCUGAGACGCGGGGGCUCGCAGGUUGUACCACUCACACUGUCUUUUCCGUUCGCCGCCGAACAAAAACCUUGUCUGUCAGAAGUUAAUUUUUCAGGAACGGCUUAAUACCAUUCUGCAAGCGGAAGUGGCGUAAAGCCAUGCAAACCAACGCGCAAAGGCGAGAACGAGAACGAGACGAUAGCUAAAACCGUGCAGAGGAGGCGUCACGAGCCUGAGGCGGCGGCCAUAUGCCACCGGAGACAAGACCGGCCAAUAUCAGUUCCCGGGGACGCACAGUUGUCACUUUUGCUAACCUGAGCAAACAAAAGUCAAAAAUCUGAUUGAACAUUUUAAACUCUUUCAUUGCAUAAAAAUGAACAUUUGAAAAUAUAAAAUCUAAAAAUAAAUAAUUUUUAAAUCAAAUGGGAAGUACUUGAUAGAACCUGUUUCUGCAAGUCUUAGCGCGUCCCUGCUUAUCACGGCUCGCGGUCACCUUUAUUUCAAUAAGCGAGAUCAUGCUGAAUGGAUACAUUUUGUAUGUUCUGGCUAUGGAUCCUACAAAUAUAAAUCGACAAAAGUGACUACUGUGGGACGCCGAGAAUUACCUGCCGAAUUUGGGCCUCGCGCGCUAUCGACGUCAGAAGCGCAGAACAAUAGAAUAAUGUGCACACCAUCAGGAUCUAACCGCCUGAUAACAGCCAAUGCGGAAGCGGCAGCGGCAAUAAGUGGGGCGCGACACCGCCGGCCUCCCGCAGGAUCGAGGAUCGAUGCUUACUUGUGCUGUGAGCGUGCCCUGGGCCGGAGACCAGAGCCGAGAAUCCAAGGGAAUAUCCAUAGGGAACGCAGAAAAGUUUCAUGCCGCGCUAAAGGGUGAAACGGGCGUCAAACAAGAAUUGUAAAGUCACCGAUUUUCGCGAAGGCGAGUGACGUUGCGACUAACAGAAUUAAGUAGAAUCCGCUCCGUAAUUGUCGCGUAUUUAUUGUUCACAAUAUAUAUUUAUAUGUUUCUUACAAAAUCAAA
rnacentral:lncRNA from 13 species